rnacentral:pre_miRNA from 1 species
AAUAAGUUCAUUUCUUUAGUUUUGGAUACAAUAUUUCGACUCUUUAUCUUAUUUAAAAAUUUUUGUGAUUAAUAUUUUUAUUGUUACUAAAUGAUAAAACACGAAUAGCACUUUAUGCAUAACUAAUCUAUUAAGUUUUUGUACAUAAUUUUUAAAUAAGACGAAUAGUCAAACUUUGGACACAGAAAUCGAAAAAUAAAGUUAUU